rnacentral:lncRNA from 1 species
AUGGCAUACAUGCACACAGAUAAACACACACAACAAAGACACACACACAUAAUAAUAAUAACAAUUUUUAAUUUUAAAGAGAUUUUAUUUUACUGUAGUGUAUGUACUUAUGCAUGCACACAUGAGUACAGUGGUCGUGCAGAUCAGAGGCAAUGGAUGGAUCCCUGUGCAGCUGGAGUUACGGUGGGCUGUGAGCGCCCUGACAUGGGUGCUGGGAACCAAACUCAGGUCAUAGAAAUAUCUAGUAAUAAGUUACUGGCCUGAAUGCUAUAAACUUAUCUACUCAAAUAAAAGAGAAGCCCUAAAUGUGCUAAAUGUGUUUAUGUAUGUGCACUAUAUGCAUGCUUUAUGUCAGCGGAGGUCAGAGGAGGGCAUCAGAUCUUUGGAACCAGAGUUACAGAUGGUUGUGAGCCACCAUGUGGGUGCUGAGAACCAAACAAAGGUCUUCUGUGAGAGCAAGUGCUCUUAACCACUGAGACAUCUCGACAGCCCCAGUACUUUACUGUUUUAAAACCAUACUUUAUUUCAUACUCACCAUAAAACAGUUCAAGAGAAUAAUGGGAUUUUAAAGCGCCUUAUAAUUGCAAGACACAUCUGUACGAGAGAUAACAUCCUGGA